rnacentral:misc_RNA from 1 species
GAACGCACCUUGCACCCUUUGGUAUUCCGAAGGGUAUGCCUGUUUGAGUGUCAUUAAAUUCUCAACUUCAAAAGAGUUUGUGCUUUUUUGAAGCUUGGACUAUGGAAGCUUGCUGGUAUCACUAUCAGCUCUUCUUAAAUGCAUUAGCGGAACUGUGAAGGACCAGCUUUGGUUUGAUAAUCCUAUCUAUGCCGUCGCUGUGGACUUGUGUUCAGCUUCUAACUGUCUUCGGACUGUCUCUUAUGAGGCAUAUAACUUUAAGCUUGACCUCAAAUCAGGUAGGACUACCCGCUGAACUUAAG